rnacentral:rRNA from 1 species
CUGAAACCGUGCGCUUACAAGCGGUCGGAGCCCUUUAGUGGGGUGACGGCGUGCCUUUUGCAUAAUGAGCCUACGAGUUGUCGUUGUUGGCAAGGUUAACCCGUUCAGCGGGGUAGCCGGAGCGAAAGCGAGUCUUAACAGGGCGUGUAGUCAGCAGUGGCAGACGCGAAACUUGGUGAUCUACCCAUGGGCAGGGUGAAGCUCCGUUAAACCGGAGUGGAGGCCCGAACCAGUAAACGUUGAAAAGUUUUUGGAUGACCUGUGGGUAGGGGUGAAAGGCCAAUCAAACUGAGAAAUAGCUCGUACUCUCCGAAAUGUUUUUAGGAACAGCCUCGGAGGAUGUCUGCUAGAGGUAGAGCUACCAAUAGGACUAGGGGGAGUCAAAUCCUACCAAAUCCUGAUGAACUCCGAAUGCCGUAAGAUAUACUCUGCAGUGAGGGCAUGGGUGCUAAGGUCCAUGUCCGAGAGGGAAAGAACCCAGAUCUACAGCUAAGGUCCCAAAGUGUAUGCUAAG